AUGUGGCUACUAAGUUUUGAUUGGGAGUUGGUCAUGUUCAAGCAUUACCUUUCUGCAGGCCGACCAGCAAUGGUAGAGACGAACGGACAGGCGGAGCCAACGAGGCAUACGGAACGGACGGGCAGGAAGGUUCCGGACGUGGAAGGCACGGCAGCCGCAAGUGGCGGCGAGAGCCACGGGUCGGCUGCGGCAGACGAAACGGACGGGCAGGAAGGAUCGGAGGCGGACGGCGCGGCAGCGACAAAUGGCGGCGAGAGAGACGAGUGGGCUGCGGUGGCCGGAACAGACGGGCAGGAAGGAUCCCGAGGCGGACGGCGCGGCAGCGGCAGGCUGCGGUGGCCGGAACAGACGGGCAGGAAGGAUCCCGAGGCCGACGGCGUGGUAGCGGCAGGCGGCGGCGAGAGAGCGGCAAUUAGGGCUUGGGUGACGAGAAUGCAGGUGUUUGAGCUUGCCGAUGAAACAAUGACUAUGCUAUCUUCGUGGGACGAAGAUGAUCCCAAGGUGGUUUCUGCUGGGCAUGGUAGCUAUGGAAGGACGGCGGAGCACUCCGGCCGGUGCUCCGGCGUGGGAUUUGGCCGGGACAACGGGUUGGACCCACGAUCGACGACCGGCGGCUUGCGCCGUACACAGAUCACACGGGACGCGCCAUCGAUGAAGUCAGCACAAUGGAGCGAUCUCCCUGACGAGCUUCUCAGCGCGAUCUACCUCAAGAUCACCGGCCUGCUCCACCGUGUCCGCUUCGCCGCCACGUGCAGGUCGUGGCGAGCAGCCGCGAUCGGGUCGCGGCACGAAGUGCCACCCGCUCUACCAUGGCUCGUCUACUCAGAUUGUAAAUACGACCACGACCACGACGACGACCACCACAACAACAGGAUGAAGUGCGUGUACUGCCCUGAGGACGGCGGGGUCCUGCGCAUCCGGCUUCCGAGUGAGGCAAUCGACAAGGACUUGGUGGGAUCUUAUGACGAUGGCUGGGUCUUCAUGAAAGGGCCCAACCGAGAACAUGCAGCCGUGAACCUAUUUUCCGGCAUCGAGGUGCCGCUCCCCGCAAACAACAUGCGCUCACUCCGGAAGGUUGUCGUCUCGAAAUCCCCCACCUCAAGCGGUUGCAUUAUCGCUGCCACCCAUAGCAACGGUAUCGCCCUUUGCGGGAUUGGUUAUCUAGACAAUGGGUGGAGGAUAAAACGAACUGAUGGACCACGGCUCCUCGAUAUAAUAUUCUACAAUGGUGAACUCUAUGGCAUCACCACAAGACAGCUACUCAAGUUUGAAAUAGGUCAGAACAAAGCUGGCGGGCCGGUCGUCAUCGGCGAACCUUGCCGGUUGCAAAUCCGAAUGUGUAACGCCCCAUUCGUGUACCCGAACUACAUCGUUGAGUUGCAUGGAAAGUUGGCAUUGGUAGCGAGGACCUGGCAUGGCAUCAGCGGUGAACCUUCUUUCAAGGUGUUCAAGCUUGUUGAUGACUCAACCGCCGCCGCUCGCUGGAUCCCGCACACAGACCCAGACCCAUGCUGCCCUCGUUUCGGACCACCGCCGCCGGCGCUCGCCGCCUCGCUGCCGCCGGCCGCAGCACCAUCUUCGUCGCCUCUUGCGUUCCUCACCGGAUCCACAGAUGCAGCUGCGUAUACGACGGGGUUGCAGCUCCGGUGGCGACGGUCGGCGGCCGCAAAACUCGUCGGCAAGCUCGCAGUGUACCUCGCCUCGGUUGCCGUCCAUGGUUGUAGCACUCUGGUGCGUCGCCCCGCCCUCGCUAUCGGCGCUCGCUGCAUGAGUUUCCAAGAACAAAAUGGCCACCAGUCGCACCAUAAAACGAAUGUAGCAAAUCAACAUGUCGGUCGUACCAAAAAGCAUCCACGGUUGUAG
rnacentral:rRNA from 1 species